UACGAAGGGGGCUAGCGUUGCUCGGAAUCACUGGGCGUAAAGCGCACGUAGGCGGAUUGUUAAGUCAGGGGUGAAAUCCCGGGGCUCAACCCCGGAACUGCCUUUGAUACUGAGAGUCUCGAGUCCGGAAGAGGUGAGUGGAAUUCCGAGUGUAGAGGUGAAAUUCGUAGAUAUUCGGAGGAACACCAGUGGCGAAGGCGGCUCACUGGUCCGGUACUGACGCUGAGGUGCGAAAGCGUGGGGAGCAAACAGG
rnacentral:rRNA from 1 species